rnacentral:misc_RNA from 1 species
AGUCGUAACAAGGUAACCGUAGGUGAACCUGCGGUUGGAUCAUUAACAAUGGUUUUCAAACCUUUUAUCUGUGCACUGUAUUGUUUUUGGUGACUCCUCUCUUUGCUUUUGGCGAAGGAGGUCUGUCUCUGGCUUGCCCACAGACAGAAACGGCCACCGACAUUUUUAAACCAUGUAUUGUAUCGAGUCUUGAAUUUGUAUUAAAAUGAAAAACUUUUGACAACGGAUCUCUUGGCUCUC